UUGAAGCGCAAGGGAUAGAAGUGGAAAGCCCACAGUCUCGUCUUUUUGGACGAGACGAGGACUUAUAGCGGAUAGCCCGACACAGC
rnacentral:misc_RNA from 1 species